CCUACGGGAGGCUGCAGUGGGGGAUAUUGGACAAUGGGGGGAACCCUGAUCCAGCGACGCCGCGUGAGUGAAGAAGUAUUUCGGUAUGUAAAGCUCUAUCAGCAGGGAAGAAAAGAAUGACGGUAGCUGAAGAAGAAGCCCCGACUAACGACGUGCCAGCAGCCGCGGUAAUACGUAGGGGGCAAGCGUUAUCCGGAUUUACUGGGUGUAAAGGGAGCGCAGACGGCAAUGCAAGCAUGGAGUGAAAGGCGGGGGCCCAACCCCCGGACUGCUCUGGGAACUGUAUAGCUAGAGUGCAGGGGAGGCAAGUGGAAUUCCUAGUGUAGCGGUGAAAUGCGUAGAUAUUAGGAGGAACACCAGUGGCGAAGGCGGCUUGCUGGACUGUAACUGACGUUGAGGCUCGAAAGCGUGGGGAGCAAACAGGAUUAGAUACCCGAGUAGUC
rnacentral:rRNA from 1 species